rnacentral:rRNA from 1 species
AUGCGCGUGAGUGAAAAGCUUCGGGUUGUAAAGCUCUUUCGGCAGGAACGAAAUGGUUCGUGCUAAUACCACGGACUGAUGACGGUACCUGAAGAAGAAGCACCGGCUAACUACGUGCCAGCAGCCGCGGUAAUACGUAGGGUGCAGGCGUUAAUCGGAAUUACUGGGCGUAAAGCGUGCGCAGGCGGUUUCUUAAGUCAGAUGUGAAAGCCCCGGGCUUAACCUGGGAACUGCGUUUGAAACUGGGAGACUUGAGUGUGGCAGAGGGGGGUGGAAUUCCACGUGUAGCAGUGAAAUGCGUAGAUAUGUGGAGGAACACCGAUGGCGAAGGCAGACCCCUGGGCUAACACUGACGCUCAUGCACGAAAGCGUGGGGAGCAAACAGGAUUAGAUACCCUGGUAGUCCAAGCCCUAAACUAUGUCAACUGGUUGUCGGGAGAUUAACUCUCUUGGUAACGAAGCUUACGCGUGAAGUUGACCGACU